rnacentral:rRNA from 1 species
UACAGAGGGUGCGAGCGUUGUCCGGAAUCACUGGGCGUAAAGGGCGCGUAGGCGGUGGCUUAAGCGUGUGGUGAAAGCUCAGGGCUCAACCCUGAGUCGGCCGUGCGAACUGGGUCACUGGAGCAUGUCAGAGGCAGGCGGAAUUCCGGGUGUAGCGGUGGAAUGCGUAGAGAUCCGGAAGAACACCGGUGGCGAAGGCGGCCUGCUGGGACCAUCGCUGACGCUGAGGCGCGACAGCGUGGGGAGCAACGAGG